rnacentral:rRNA from 1 species
GUGGCGAACGGGUGAGUAACACGUGAGUAACCUGCCCUCGACUCUGGGAUAACUCCGGGAAACCGGGGCUAAUACUGGAUAUGAGGUGUCCCUGCAUGGGGGUGCCUGGAAAGAUUUAUCGGUCGAGGAUGGACUCGCGGCCUAUCAGCUUGUUGGUGGGGUAGUGGCCUACCAAGGCGACGACGGGUAGCCGGCCUGAGAGGGCGACCGGCCACACUGGGACUGAGACACGGCCCAGACUCCUACGGGAGGCAGCAGUGGGGAAUAUUGCACAAUGGGCGAAAGCCUGAUGCAGCGACGCCGCGUGAGGGAUGAAGGCCUUCGGGUUGUAAACCUCUUUCAGCAGGGAAGAAGCGCAAGUGACGGUACCUGCAGAAGAAGCGCCGGCUAACUACGUGCCAGCAGCCGCGGUAAUACGUAGGGCGCAAGCGUUGUCCGGAAUUAUUGGGCGUAAAGAGCUCGUAGGCGGUCUGUCGCGUCUGCUGUGAAAUCCCGAGGCUCAACCUCGGGCUUGCAGUGGGUACGGGCAGACUAGAGUGCGGUAGGGGAGACUGGAAUUCCUGGUGUAGCGGUGGAAUGCGCAGAUAUCAGGAGGAACACCGAUGGCGAAGGCAGGUCUCUGGGCCGCAACUGACGCUGAG